GGACAGAAGACCCUAAAUCAGACUUUGUGAAAAACAUAGAGAUGAACAUAAGAUGGUUCCUGCUCUCAAGCAAGGAAAACAGAUAUGUGUGCCAAUAACUCCAACACAAGGCUGCCAGUGGUAAGUACUAGAAGAGUGGAAACCAGGUAUUUAUUAACUGGGGGCGAUUACCUGUUUUCCAUGUUCCCAGGAAAAGGACCUCCACUCAGCAUACCCCAAAAAUACCCUAGGGUAAGGGUGAGGUGGGAAGGUAGGGAAUUAUUUUAUGCCCAAGUCUCUGAGACUUUCUUUUCUAGUGAUUCUCUGGCUUUAUCUACUAAGAGAGAACUCCAGCAGUGGCAUGGAACACAUAGGGGCUCGGCUGCCUCCAGCUAUGAAAACCCCCCUCCUCCCACUCCCUGACCUUGUUAGGAGGCUGGAGUUUUAAAACAGGACAAUUGAAGACUAUUUGAGAAGAAAAAUCUAAACAACCAAAAUAUCUGAGAAGAUGAAAAAUAAAACUAAGAGGAAAGAGAAUUCUGGUAGACUAUGUGAUAUAAGAAAUCUCAAACAACUCUGUUUCCAUAUAGUGGAACAAUUUUUGAGCAUUCCAGUGUUUCCAAAUAUUCACUGCCCCUUUUUGAAGAAGGAUGAUGCUUCAUCCCUCUACUGACAGCAGGCUUGGCCAUGUGACUCUCUUUGGCCAGUGAGACGUGAGCAGAAAUGAUGUGUAUGACUUCCAGAGAGAAGCCUUGGGAGCCAGUAUGUGCACCGCCAUGAUCUCUUUUUCUCUGCUAUAUGACUGUGAAUGUUCUAGAUAGGAGGCUGCUCUGCCUCCUGGAGUGAAGGUUAUAUGCCAGCCCACAAUGGACAUGUCACAAAAUCACUGUUGCUGAAAGCCAUCGACAUUGGAGGAAAGCGGUCACUGUUACUGUGGAACAAUCUAACUUAUCCUGAUGGAUACACUAAUGAAAUUAUCUGUGAAUAAAAGAAUGAAUAGUCUGGCUGACAAUCCACACCUCAACGUAAAUGCAGUAAUUUCAACAAAAUUACUAAGGG
rnacentral:lncRNA from 10 species